GACGAACGCUGGCGGCGUGCUUAACACAUGCAAGUCGAACGGAAAGGCCCUGCUUUUGUGGGGUGCUCGCGUGGCGAACGGGUGAGUAACACGUGAGUAACCUGCCCUUGACUUUGGGAUAACUUCAGGAAACUGGGGCUAAUACCGGAUAGGAGCUCCUGCUGCAUGGUGGGGGUUGGAAAGUUUCGGCGGUUGGGGAUGGACUCGCGGCUUAUCCGCUUGUUGGUGGGGUAGUGGCUUACCAAGGCUUUGACGGGUAGCCGGCCUGAGAGGGUGACCGGCCACAUUGGGACUGAGAGACGGCCCAGACUCCUACGGGAGGCAGCAGUGGGGAAUAUUGCACAAUGGGCGGAAGCCUGAUGCAGCAACGCCGCGUGCGGGAUGACGGCCUUCGGGUUGUAAACCGCUUUCGCCUGUGACGAAGCGUGAGUGACGGUAAUGGGUAAAGAAGCACCGGCUAACUACGUG
rnacentral:rRNA from 1 species